AGUUUAAAUUCAUCAGGGUGGAGCAUGGCAGCAGGAUCUUUACACAUGCAAGUCGAACGCACGGACUUCGGUCUGGUGGCGAGUGGCGAACGGGUAGGUAAUCAUCAGAACGUGCUAGUAGCGAAGUAGCUACGCGAAAGCGUAGCUAAUACCGUCGCCCUUCAGGAAAGCAGGGGACCCUUCGGGCCUCGCACUAUUAGAGCAGCCACGAUAUCGGACAACUAGUUGGUGGGGUAACGGCUCUGAGGCGACGAUCCGUAGCUGGUUUGAGAGGACGACCAGCCACUGGGACUGAGACACGGCCCGGAAGCUCUACAGGAGAGCAGCAGUGGGGGAAUUUUGGACAAUGGGGGAAACCUGAUCAGCCAUCCAUGACAAUGUGCGAUGAAGGCCUUCAGGUUGUAAACCUUUUGGCCAGGAAGAAAACGGCACGGGAUAAUACCCGUACAACUGACGAAGUACCAUAGACAGCACCGGCUAACUACGAUGCCCACUAGCAGCCGCGGUAGCAUACGUAGGUGCAAGCGUUAAUCAGGUACUGGAGCGUGGCGUGCGCAGGCGGUUCCGGAAAGAAAAGAUGUAAAUCCAAACUGCUGAGAACUGCAUUUUUAACUGCCGAGCUAGAGUGUGUCAGAAAGGUGAAUUCCGCGGUAGCAGCAGUGAAAUGCGUAGAUAUGCAGAGAACCUGAUGGCGAAGGCAGCCUCUGGGAUAACACUGACAGCUCCAUGCACGAAAGCGUGGGGAGCGACAGGAUUGGACCCUGGUAGUCCGCCCUAAACGAUGUCAACUAGCUGUUGGGGCCUUCGGGCCUUGGUAGCGCAGCUAACGCGUGAAGUUGUGACCGCCUGGGGGAGUACGGUCGCAAGAUUAAAACUCAAAGGAAUUGACGGGGACCCGCACGGCAGUGGAUGAUGUGGAUUAAUUCGAUGCAACGCGAAAACCUUACCUACCAUGACGCCAUUAUUGGAAUCCAGAAGAAGAUUUGGGGAAUUGCUCUUGAAGAGAACAGACUACACAGGUGCUGCAUGGCUGUCGUCAGCUCGUGUCGUGAGAUGUUAGGUUGAUCCACAACGAGCGCAACCACUUGUCGUGGAUUUGCUGCGAAGGGCACUCUAAUGAGACUGCCGGUGGCAAACCGGAAGAUGAGGAUGACGUCAAGUCCUCAUAGCCCUAUGGGUAGGGCUUCACACGUCAUACAAUGGUCGGGACAAGAGGGUCGCCAACCCGCGAGGAGCCAAUCCCAGAAACCCGAUCGUAGUCCGGAUCGCAGUCUGCAACUCGACUGCGUGAAGUCGGAAUCCUUCGACAUCGCGGAUCAGCAUGUCGCGGUGAAUACGUUCCCGGGUCUUGUACACACCGCCGAAUACACCAUGGGAGUGGGUUUUACAGAAGUAGUUAGCCUAACCGUAAGGAGGGCGAUUACCACAGUAGGAUUCAUGACUGGGGUGAAGUCGUAACAAGGUAA
rnacentral:rRNA from 1 species